rnacentral:tRNA from 1 species
GUCUCAGUAUCACAAUGGUAGUGCACAGCCCCGGUUGAGACGCGGGUUCGAAUCCCGCCUCAGAUG